CCUCCGAUUAAUUUCACCUCAGUUGCGAAAAACGUCCCAUUUAGAAAUUUUCCACUCGCGUACUUUAAAGGUGAGCCCUCUCCUAAUAAAUUUAGUGUACAUACAACUAUAAAGAAAUCUGCCCCAGUGAAUUAUAUAGGAGGCUACCCCAGUCAUUGUUGACUCAUGGUUGCUUAAAGCUUUACAAGACCGACUGAUUUUAGUGACACUGUCGGUGUAAAAUAUUGAAUAAAAUGUUUAUGCUACGUGACUGGCAUUAUCUACAAGAGGAUCAUCCUUGUUGUCUCCAAGUGUAUUCUGGGUAAAACUUGUCACCAGCCGUCCACCAACGUCGUCAUCAGUCUCUUGGCAACAGAUGGCAAACUAGCUAUAACAUUUUUACGGACUAAGUUAACAGGCGUGGAGCUCCAUGGAGCGGCAAAGUGAGAAGGAUGGAAAAAAGAGAGCAAGGAAAAGUCAAAAACUGGACGCAUAUUUUGUUCGUCGUCUUGGAGAUGAAGCGGAGUUUUUUGAUUCAGGGCGCCAAAACUGCCAGUCCAGCCACGGAGCCAGGAGAGUUACAGUUAAGGUUUACAUUGGAGCCGCCUGGGAGAGCGGCGCGCGUGAUCCGCACCGAGUUGCAAAGAUCCAGAGGUGCACGAGCCGCGCUGCGUUUCCGCUUCAACGCGCACAAUGAACCGAGCUCCGUGCUCAUGAUAAAUUAAAACAAAUUCAAUAAUUUCCAUUGGCAUAAUUUAUAGUUUCUCUUUUUAUUUUUCUCUCUUUCUAC